rnacentral:rRNA from 1 species
AUGGUUGUCGUCAGCUCGUGCCGUGAGGUGUCGGGUUAAGUCCCAUAACGAGCGCAACCCCUAUCAUUAGUUGCCAUCAGGUCAAGCUGGGGACUCUAAUGAAACUGCCUACGCAAGUAGUGAGGAAGGUGGGGAUGACGUCAAAUCAGCACGGCCCUUACGUCCAGGGCUACACACGUGCUACAAUGGCCGGUACAAAGGGCAGCUACCUGGUGACAGGAUGCUAAUCUCAAAAGCCGGUCUCAGUUCGGAUCGGAGUCUGCAACCCGACUCCGUGAAGCUGGAAUCGCUAAUAAUCGCGCAUCAGCCAUGGCGCGGUGAAUACGUUCCCGGGCCUU